AGCUUCCUCCAGUCUGUGAGUUGUAUCAUGGAAUACUAUCAGCCGUUAAGAACAAGGACAUCAUAAAAUUUUCAGGCAAAUGGAUGGAACUAGAAAAUACCAUCCUGAAUGAGGUAACCCAGACCUCAAAGGACAUUCAUGGUAUGCACUCAAUGGUCUGAGAUGUGGGCUGGGCCACGCCACUUGAUAGACUUAUGUUUGCUUCUCUGUUGGCUAAGAGACUUCACUCACUGAUCUCCCAGGCAUAGGCUCAGAAUAACUCACUCUCUGAUUAGCAUAGUGUCAGAGAGACAGACAGAGGUUUAUGUUGGGACAUUUUGGAGGGAUGCUGAGAGCCUCACUACACACUAGGCAAGCGCUUUCCCACUGAGCUCCAAGCCCAACACUCAUCUGAUUCUUAACCAUGGACGACAAUGCCUUUCAAUGCUGUAUACAAUUCAAGCUACCAUACAAAGGUACUUCUCAUACCAUAAAGAUGUUUCAGGCGGCAGAUUUCUCCCCUUAAGUUCCUCUGACCUGAUUCUGGCAGGACGAUGGAUUCUGGGUCAUCACUUUUUUGGGAAUGCUCCAUGCUCACCAUGCCAGGUGCGGUCUGCGUCCCAGUCAGCUGGGAGUCACAUGUGGAGCUAUUCUGGGGUCUAGGGACCGUCGAUUCUUGCCAAGGAAAACUAUUUGAGAACAUAGUGCAUUUGGGUAACCACCGAGACUCUCUGCUGGCCUUGCCCUCCAUCAAUCCUGCUGCAGCCUUGCUACUGCUGGUGUCUAGGGUCACCCACACAGGAGGGCAUCAUUCACGGUGUGUCUGAGGUUUUCUCAGUUGAAGUGCCCAACCACAGGGGGUCAGCUGUGAAUUUAGAUUGACUUUGGGGCAUCAGAUCGCCAUGGACCAAGGGGGAAACUUCCUGCCACACUACCCUCAGAUACUGAUCCUCUCCCCUUGUCUCUGGACAAAGAACUUACUGUGCUCAGAGAAGACAAAUGUAGCCACAGCCUGAGCUCGGAUUAGCAAAGUGCUGGGAUGGAUGAGACUGGAGAGGUGGGCGUAGACCCGUAGGGGAUUUACUGUGCCCUGAGCCUCUGUGUGGGGUAGAAGCUUUGCUUCGAGAGGAGCUUACACAUAAAGGAGAACUGUGCGAUCCCUCUAGGAUGAUGUGAAUGGCUUUCUAGGAAACACACCUGAAGAACCUGCUGGCAGGUGAUACGCGUCAGGGUCAGGGCCCUCAGCUGCUGAGAGUGAAGCUACAGACCAGAGAACCUGGUUUUUAUCAGUGGGAAGUCCUGGAGAGUAGAGGCAUUGUCUUCACCAACAAGGCUGGGUGGAAUUGUACACUUUCACGGCUGAAUGUCUGCGUGUGGCUUUGUAUUCUUAUCUGUAAAAUGGGAGUGAUGACUUCCCUAUGAGGAACAAUUUAGGGCCUGUGGCAGGCAUGCAGUAUUGAACAGGGUAACUGUUCACCACCUCCUUCCCUAUUGCUGACGUUGUCAAAAUCAGAGGGGAGGAGAAGUCAUAGGUUCUACAAGUACUGUUGUUUAUUUUUUAAAAAAUCCUUUUCUGAGCUGGGGAGACAGCUCAGUGUGUAAAUCACUUGCCAAGCAACCAUGAUGACCAGAGUUUGGUUCCUAGCUCCCAUGUAAAAACCAUGUGGUUUGGACAACCUGCCUGUAGUCUCGGCACAUCUCAAAGCAAGCAGGCUAAGCAGAUUAGUCAAGAUGACAAGUUCUGGGUUCAGCAAGAGGAGAGCACAUACGUCAUUAUAUAAGUUGGAGUGUGGUCAAGUAAUACACUCAGUGUUCAUGUCAGCCUUGCACAUACAUGUGUGCACAUGCACUAAUGUCAGCCUUGCACAUACACGUGUGCACAUGCACUUGUAAACUCACAUGCCUAUGCACACGAGAGCAGCUCUGAAGCCUCAGAAUAAUUGACCUACUUCAAAAUUUCUUUCUGCCUCAGCCAGAGCUUGGCUGGAAUGGUAGGCUAUGCUGCAUACAAGCAAUAGUUAUGAUGGUCAGGGCUGGGUCCUCUCUGGAUCACGAUGACUAUUGAAAUCUGCAGUAGCUGGAUUGAAGAAUUCUUAUAUGUGUGCACUAUGAGAUAGAGUGCCUGCAUUUGAACCCCAGCUAGCUAUGAAGUUUGGCCAGGAGGUUGCUGGUGCACUCGAGGUAGCUGCACCCAAACUUUGGAACUCAUGACUGUCCCAGUGCUCGUGGGUCUGCCAGGAAGCGGUUUCCCAGCUUGGUUCGGAGGCUGUGGUGUUCUCUGUUUACAGAGUAUCCCGCCUUAUAUGUAGCAAAAAGAAAAUGGAAACACCUUUGAGGGUUAAGUCCACCAGCAAGUAAAGUCAACGGAGGACCUGGAGUUGAGGAAUACUGCCUACUGACCUACUCCCAACUCUUUGCUCAGUGAGCGUUCUUACAUGGCCCAGGACACCCUGCCUAGGAAUAGUGCCACCCCACAAUGGGCUGGGCUCUCCUGGAUCAGUUAGCAAUCAAGAAAAUAUUCCACAGAGCAAGCUGUUGGUGGCAAUUCCCCUACAUUGAACUCUGGGCUAUGUCAAACCGACAGCUAGAAGCAGCAAGGUCUCCUGAAAGCGGUGAACAGGAUGCCUCCAGCACUGGUCACUGAUCAGGCUCCUCCUGGGCACAUUGCCUGGCUUCUUUAUACAAAGGUCUGGUGACAAGUCACUACUUUGGUACAUGAAAACAUUUAUGGAAGAGUCCCCAUUAAUCUCCCCAGUGUGUGACAGUGAGAUAAUAAACCUCAGGACCUUGAGCUCAUGUUGGUUCGCCCACUCCUUUCAGUUAGGGCGUCUGCAUGCUGCAAUCUCACAGAGGCAGGCAGACUCAGGGAGCGAAACUUUCACUCGGAACUGACUGGCAACCUCUUAUUUAUUUAUCUGCUUUCUCUCCUUAAUGUUCUUUCCAAACUUAGAUAUUUUUCACAGGACUUGGUCUGAUUUUUUUUUUUCCAAUUUUACAGCAUAAACCAUCUGCGGCCAUUUUGCGGAGUCUCUUUAGGUCAUGGGAAGGUUCUGUGUUUCCUGUGUACAUAGCACACAGGCAGGCCCCACUCACCACCGCUGCUGCUCUGAGAAGGUCAUUCCCUUUGUCUAGAAUGAGCACACAUGUAAAUACAAUGCAGAUGUGUUUCCCAUCUGUCACCAUGGGAAACGUAGAAUACGUUUACACUGAAGUAACUCGGAGAGACCCCUGGAGUUUUAACGUUUUUGUCAACAGGUUGUAGAAUCGUUGUGAGAAAAUAGAAAUUGUCAAGGGCCUUAGAUGACUUCAAAAGACGAAUUGAAAAUAUGCAGAACAUGGGCCUGGAGAGAGGCCUCGCUGGUGAAAAAUACUGCCUGCAUUUGCAGAGGUAUUAAUCCUGAGAUUUGCCAGAAAAAAACAGCUCCACCAUUUCA
rnacentral:lncRNA from 1 species